rnacentral:lncRNA from 1 species
ACUAAUAGUAGUAUAGUACAGGUAAAUUACCUGUGCUAUACUACUAUUAGAUUGCAUGUGCAUCAUAAUUGAGCUACAUGGCUGCAUGUAUAAGUAGGACUGGAGCUACGUAUUUUUUGUUAGCAGGGAUAAAAAGUUACUAAAUGCUUCAUUAUUGUUAAUUUAUUUUUUGUAACAAAAUAAUACGAGCCACACCCUUAACUUUGUGACCAUAAUGUGUUAUGCCAUAGAUAAUUAUACACAAAACAUCAUUGUGCAUAAUGCUGAUAAUGUAGUAGGCAUCAUAGUGAGAAAAAAUGUAUAUGCAGCUAUGUACAAUGUGACAUUAAUCAAAGCUGUUGUACUCAUACAAUAAUAGAGAGUUUUGACAGUACAUUCUUAUGAUUCCUCCCACUUUUAUAGUUGUUUAUUGUUUUUUCAUAGUGAUAGAGGUAGAGCUAAUAUUUAUUAUACAAGAUGAUUGAUGUUUCUCAAUGGAGAGCAAGCAUUGGACUGUGGAACUGCUGUCAAGCUGCCUCCAGGAGACCAGCUAUUGGCUGCUACCAUUCUCACUCAUUGAAAGCUACAAUGAACAGCAAGCCAAGCAGUACUAUAAAAUUUGGAGGAACAGCAUCUAAACUUCCAGCACCUAACCUCCUCUUUCUUAUUCUCUUUCUCUCUGUUUCUUUAUCAAUACACAUCUUAAUGAUUCCUUUAACAUGUAACUUUAACUACCAUCAAGUACAGUGUAAUACUGAUGUGAACUACCUCCAGUCAGUAGCCUUAUCUAAAGGUCUGAGCUGCAAUGAUCUCUAUUUGACUGUUUGCCUCCGUAAGCUGCUCCUCUUAUCGGGAGAUGUUGAACUCAAUCCCGGUCCUCUAACAGGUAAUCCAAAGGAUGUAUUAAGAAGUCAUUCCAGUAAACUCAUUAGUGUCAUUUGUAGUAAUUUAUUAAACAUAACAAAUGAGCUUCAUGCUGCAAGAUUAAUACCCAAACUAUUUAGACAAGAGAUGCUUGUACCAGCAGUUGACAGUUAUACUAAAGCUACUAAACUUGUGAAUGUCAUUGAACAACAGUUAGAAUCUUCUCUUAAUCCAGUCCAGUAUCUCACUGAUAUAUAAUGUCGUGUAUUAUUGAACCAACAAGAUUGUACACUAACAGAUAUUACUACCUCUAUAUUGCAUCAGUUAGGUCAGUCAGUAUCUGAUGUACUACCACCACUUGAUCCUAUUAAUGAUACCCCAAUAAAAGGUCAAUCUAAUGUUAGUUCAAUACCUGAUGAUGUUCAAGUGUAUGCUGAUGAUAUGAGACAAUACUACAAACAUCAACCUAUUGUUGCUACAGACUGGCCUCCAAGAAUUGGAAAGGACUUUUUUGGGAGAUUAGCAUUAGUUGAAAAACAAGACCACAGUACACAAGCAGAAUCAGCUUGGCAUUUGCUAAGAGGACAAGUUGAUAAAAUUGUGAAACUAGCUAAAAACAAAG